AAAACAUAGCCAGAUGAAGAUAUUUUUGGUUUAACCUGCCCAAUGUAGAUAUUAUGAAUGGCCGCGGUACCCUGACCGUGCUAAGGUAGCGUAAUCAGUUGGCUUUUAAAUGGAGUCAGGUAUGAAUGGGAUAACCGGGUUUAGCUGUCUCAGAGAUACUAAAUUGAAUUUACUGUUCAAGUGAAAAAGCUUGGUGUAUAAAAAGGGACGAGAAGACCCUUAGAAUUUUAUUUAAGACAAGAUUUUGUUGUUGUGAUUUUGUUGGGGCGACAGAGAAAUAAUUAAAACUUUCUUUAAAUUAUAAGUCGGAAUUUUCAGGAUAAGAUAAAUUACCUGAGGGAUAACAGCAUAAUUCUAUAAUUGAGUUUGUGACCUCGAUGUUGGACUAGGGAGCUGGCAGGUUAGCUGCUUGCCGUGCGGAUUCUGUUCGAAUUUUAACCCCUACGUGA
rnacentral:rRNA from 1 species